rnacentral:lncRNA from 1 species
AAACUACUGUUCAUAUGGGUAUGGUAGCAGGCACACACAGUACUAUGUAUUACAUACGGUUCCUAAACCCAGGUUGAUAACAGCAUUACUGCUUUCAUCAGAGUGUCCUUUUGUUCCUAGGUGAACGGCUGUUUCCUCUUAUUCAAGCCAUGCACCCUUCUCUUGCUGGCAAAAUUACUGGCAUGCUGUUGGAGAUUGAUAACUCAGAAUUGCUUCACAUGCUUGAGUCUCCAGAGUCUCUCCGCUCAAAGGUCGAUGAAGCUGUAGCUGUACUACAAGCCCACCAAGCGAAAGAGGCUGCCCAGAAAGCAGUGAACAGUGCCACUGGUGUUCCAACUGUCUAAAUUGAUCAGGGACCACGAACAGAAACUCGUGCUUCACCGAAGAAAAAUAUCUUAAACAUCGAAAAAUUUAAAUAUUAUGAAAAAAACAUUGCAAAAUAUAAAAUAAAUAAAAAAAGGAAAGGAAACUUUGAACCUUAUGUACCGAGCAAAUGCCAGGUCUAGCAAACAGUGCUAGUCCUAGAUUACUUGAUUUAAAACAACA